rnacentral:rRNA from 1 species
UACGGGGGGUGCAAGCGUUAUUCGGAAUUAUUGGGCGUAAAGGGCGCGCAGGCUGUUUUAUAAGUCAGAUGUGAAAGCCCGGGGCUUAACCCCGGAAGUGCAUUUGAAACUAUAAGACUUGAGUAUGGGAGAGGGAAGUGGAAUUCCUGGUGUAGAGGUGAAAUUCGUAGAUAUCAGGAGGAACACCGGUGGCGAAGGCGGCUUCCUGGACCAAUACUGACGCUGAGGCGCGAAGGCGUGGGGAGCAAACAGGAUUAGAUACCCGCGUA